CUACGGGAGGCAGCAGUAGGGAAUAUUGCACAAUGGAGGAAACUCUGAUGCAGCGACGCCGCGUGAGUGAUGAAGGCCUUCGGGUCGUAAAACUCUGUGAUAAGGGAAGAUGAUGACGGUACCUUAUCAGAAAAGACCGGCUAACUUCGUGCCAGCAGCCGCGGUAAUACGAGGGGUCUAAGCGUUGUUCGGAAUCACUGGGCGUAAAGCGGGUGUAGGUGGCCAUGCAAGUUGGAUGUGAAAGCCCCGGGCUCAACCCGGGAAGUGCAUCCAAAACUACGUGGCUUGAGUGCGGGAGAGAAAAGCAGAAUUCCUGGUGUAGUGGUGAAAUAUGUAGAUAUCAGGAGGAACUCCGGUGGCGAAGGCGGCUUUUUGGCCCAGCACUGACACUCAGACCCGAAAGCGUGGGUAGCAAACAGGAUUAGAAACCCCUGUAGUCC
rnacentral:rRNA from 1 species